UACGGAGGUGGCAGGCGUUGCUCGGAAUCACUGGGCGUAAAGGGCGCGUAGGCGGGGAGGUAAGUCGGGUGUGAAAUCCCUCGGCUCAACCGAGGAACUGCGCCCGAGACUGCUUCUCUUGAGUCCCGGAGAGGAAGGUGGAAUUCCCGGUGUAGCGGUGAAAUGUGUAGAGAUCGGGAGGAACACCGGUGGCGAAGGCGGCCUUCUGGACGGUGACUGACGCUGAGGCGCGAAAGCGUGGGGAGCAAACGGG
rnacentral:rRNA from 1 species